rnacentral:rRNA from 1 species
UACAGAGGUCUCGAGCGUUAGGCGGAAUCACUGGGCUUAAAGCGUGUGUAGGCGGAUCGGUAAGUACCUUGUGAAAUCCCACAGCUUAACUGUGGAACUGCGUCCGAUACUGGAGGGCUUGAGUGUGGGAGAGGGAUGCGGAAUUCCAGGUGUAGCGGUGAAAUGCGUAGAUAUCUGGAGGAACACCGGUGGCGAAGGCGGCAUCCUGGACCAUGACUGACGCUGAGGAGCGAAAGCCAGGGGAGCAAACGGG